UUCGCACAUAUCGUUGUACGUAUGAGUAUGUAUUUCUGGAAAUGCUCAGUUGAAGUGUGCAUAUGCAGUUGUGGUUUUGAUUGAAAAAUGGUGUGUCGAAUGCAGCUAGUUCUGGUAACAACUCUCAUGAUAUUGAUAACUUCAACACCAACUCAUGGAAUUUUCACCCUGAAGAAGUCACUCAUAAUAUUACAAUCUCGUCAUCGAAGAUUGGCUAAAUCGGCUUGCUGCUUGAUGCCAGUAUGUAAUGAUAAGAGCCAUUGUUAUCAAACAUUGAGUUGUGGACAUCUUUGUGAGGAACGGCUUUAUCCUUGGUCCAGAAAAUGAUAUGAGUAGUUAAGUAAAUGCAAUAACUGCAAUCCCUGGUAUCUUCAAAUGAUGCUGAUGUAGAAACUACUUUUAGACCUAAAGUAAGAUGUAAUUAAGAAAGUGAUUAUUUUUGAUACAAGAAAACGUAUGCAAAAUAUUCCUAGAUCCAAUAGUUUGAAUAAAAUAUUUCGAGUGAACAAAAUGUUGUA